rnacentral:lncRNA from 1 species
AUGGGAAACAUUAAAGUUGGACUGACACCAGCUAAUCAGUCUGAAGAACAAGAAGGGAGACCACUGAGGAGAAGUUCUAUGAGUUCACGGGUGACCUCAGCUGUCAAGUUCCUGGAUGUGGAUGGCAACAGACCAGAGAACCUGAAUGACACCAUUACUCUGGAGCCUUGCCCUGCUGCAUCAGCUGAAACAUCAAGCCAUCCACGUCCACCCCUCCUCCUCCACGUCCACCACUAUGUACAACCAUUACUCCAGCUCUUGGGUCUCACACUUACAGAUUCCUUGGGAAAGAUUUCCACUCCGAUUGUCGCAUGCAAUCACAGGAGGGGACAGACCUCAUCCAGAGGACAGGAGAAGUCAGCUAAUAGUGAUAGAUGA